rnacentral:rRNA from 1 species
AAUGUUAUCACGGGAGACACACGGCGGGUGCUAACGUCCGUCGUGAAGAGGGAAACAACCCAGACCGCCAGCUAAGGUCCCAAAGUCAUGGUUAAGUGGGAAACGAUGUGGGAAGGCACAGACAGCCAGGAUGUUGGCUUAGAAGCAGCCAUCAUUUAAAGAAAGCGUAAUAGCUCACUGGUCGAGUCGGCCUGCGCGGAAGAUGUAACGGGGCUAAACCAUGCACCGAAGCUGCGGCAGCGACACUAUGUGUUGUUGGGUAGGGGAGCGUUCUGUAAGCCUGCGAAGGUGUGCUGUGAGGCAUGCUGGAGGUAUCAGAAGUGCGAAUGCUGACAUAAGUAACGAUAAAGCGGGUGAAAAGCCCGCUCGCCGGAAGACCAAGGGUUCCUGUCCAACGUUAAUCGGGGCAGGGUGAGUCGACCCCUAAGGCGAGGCCGAAAGGCGUAGUCGAUGGGAAACAGGUUAAUAUUCCUGUACUUGGUGUUACUGCGAAGGGGGGACGGAGAAGGCUAUGUUAGCCGGGCGACGGUUGUCCCGGUUUAAGCAUGUAGGCUGGUUAUCCAGGCAAAUCCGGAUAAUCAAGGCUGAGGUGUGAUGACGAGGCACUACGGUGCUGAAGUAACAAAUGCCCUGCUUCCAGGAAAAGCCUCUAAGCAUCAGGUAACAUCAAAUCGUACCCCAAACCGACACAGGUGGUCAGGUAGAGAAUACCAAGGCGCUUGAGAGAACUCGGGUGAAGGAACUAGGCAAAAUGGUGCCGUAACUUCGGGAGAAGGCACGCUGGUGUGUAGGUGAAGCCCCUGCGGGUGGAGCUGAGACCAGUCGAAGAUACCAGCUGGCUGCAACUGUUUAUUAAAAACACAGCACUGUGCAAACACGAAAGUGGACGUAUACGGUGUGACGCCUGCCCGGUGCCGGAAGGUUAAUUGAUGGGGUUAUCCGUAAGGAGAAGCUCUUGAUCGAAGCCCCGGUAAACGGCGGCCGUAACUAUAACGGUCCUAAGGUAGCGAAAUUCCUUGUCGGGUAAGUUCCGACCUGCACGAAUGGCGUAAUGAUGGCCAGGCUGUCUCCACCCGAGACUCAGUGAAAUUGAACUCGCUGUGAAGAUGCAGUGUACCCGCGGCAAGACGGAAAGACCCCGUGAACCUUUACUAUAGCUUGACACUGAACAUUGAGCCUUGAUGUGUAGGAUAGGUGGGAGGCUUUGAAGCGUGGACGCCAGUCUGCGUGGAGCCAACCUUGAAAUACCACCCUUUAAUGUUUGAUGUUCUAACGUUGGCCCCUUACCGGGGUUGCGGACAGUGUCUGGUGGGUAGUUUGACUGGGGCGGUCUCCUCCCAAAGCGUAACGGAGGAGCACGAAGGUUAGCUAAUCCUGGUCGGACAUCAGGAGGUUAGUGCAAUGGCAUAAGCUAGCUUGACUGCGAGCGUGACGGCGCGAGCAGGUGCGAAAGCAGGUCAUAGUGAUCCGGUGGUUCUGAAUGGAAGGGCCAUCGCUCAACGGAUAAAAGGUACUCCGGGGAUAACAGGCUGAUACCGCCCAAGAGUUCAUAUCGACGGCGGUGUUUGGCACCUCGAUGUCGGCUCAUCACAUCCUGGGGCUGAAGUAGGUCCCAAGGGUAUGGCUGUUCGCCAUUUAAAGUGGUACGCGAGCUGGGUUUAGAACGUCGUGAGACAGUUCGGUCCCUAUCUGCCGUGGGCGCUGGAGAAUUGAGGGGGGCUGCUCCUAGUACGAGAGGACCGGAGUGGACGCAUCACUGGUGUUCGGGUUGUCAUGCCAAUGGCACUGCCCGGUAGCUAAAUGCGGAAGAGAUAAGUGCUGAAAGCAUCUAAGCACGAAACUUGCCCCGAGAUGAGUUCUCCCUGAGACUUUAAGUCUCCUGAAGGAACGUUGAAGACGACGACGUUGAUAGGCCGGGUGUGUAAGCGCAGCGAUGCGUUGAGCUAACCGGUACUAAUGAACCGUGAGGCUUAACCUU